UCAAAUCUAAUUUUGGGAAAUUGGGUGCAAGUGGAUUACCUGAUUGCUCAGAUUUAAUACAGAAAAUACCAGCUCUACCCUUACUGCAACCCCCUCCAUUUGCAGAGAAAAUGGUACAUCCCGACUCUCUUACCCCCUCCCUCUUCCUCACUCUCCCUCACCAGUGUCCUCCAUCACUCUAUUCUUCCCCAUUCUGUCUCCUUGAGAAUCAGACUAGGCCCUUUCCCACUGAGAACUGGAAUUGCUGUCUGUGGAUUUCUGCACUCCUUGCCCUCGCCAAAGCAGAAGAAAAAGGAGCGACAAGAAGAGAACAGAAGCCACACCUAUUUGGAGACAGACAUUAGGUCCUGACUCAGUCACUCCAGCUUUAACAGUCCCAUGGAAGCCAAAGCUAAGAGUGGGGCCCUGAAGCCCAGCGUCAAGGUAGAGAAGAAGGAGCCUGCAGCCCCAAGCAAGCCUGAUGCCGCCCCACCUGCUGCCCCUGCUGAGCCAGCGCCCCCUGCAGAGCCAGAGAACACAGCAGAGGAGACGGCGACUGACCAGCCAGAGGGGACGGAGGGAGCUGAGGCAGCAGAUACUUGUGCCGACACCUUAGAGAACCUGAAGCCCUUCCUCAUUGGUGGAGCCAUCAUCGCUCUCGGGGCCAUCCUGGUUGGGGUAAUAUUAUUGGCCAAGAAGAAUUAACCAGCAGGUUGAGGGGUGAACGGCUAUCUUACUGAUGGGUUCAUAGACUAUCAUAGAGUUGGUGUUUAUAUUAGGGGAAUGGGGAGUCACUGCACUUCUUAAUUUCAGUACAGUUCUGAUUUUAUUCUUAGCAAUGAAAUAAAAAAGUAUAACCUUACAGAGGAUCCAUUUGGACAUCAAGUAAUUCCAUUAUGUUUUAUUAAUAAUCAGUUCACAGAAAUAGACACCUUCAGUCACCCAAUAUGCACAACCUGCAUAAACAUGCAUGUGGUGACAUACAUCCACCCAUUCACACCACACUAUAUCAGAAACAAGCUUGAGGAGUGAUCCACUACUGGCCAAAGUUGAACGCUCAAUUUUUUAUUUCAAAGAAAACCCAUUUAUAACUUGGAAAAGUAAAGUUCACAAUGUAAUGUCUAUUUAUAAUCUAUUGGCUACUUGGCUGCAAUGUUAUUCCAUUGUUCAAUUAUUCAUAACCUGUCCACAAACACAUCUAGGAUACAGCUGAAUUCAAAGUCAUAACUCCUCUGAUACAGAUGCUACUUACAGCCAUUACAUUCAUAUAUUCCACUGGUGUCCUGAGUCAAAUUUACUGAGGUUGACAUAGCCAAAUUAUGGAAAGGUUUUACAUAACCCAACUCAAGUCUUCAAUAUAAAGCAUUAAUCAAUCAGCCUAACAUGUUGAUUGGGAUUUAAUACACACCACCUGAGUGCUACAAAUUAAUUCUAAUUUGGCUGUGAAAUCAUGAUACAUAUCUUAAUGUGUGACUCAUCACUACUGAACCACUAAAAAGUUCAAGUCCACACAAUCCUCUGGGCGUCAUAUCAGUUAGAAGUGUACGGAUGUGUGCACAGAGGCAAGGCUGUGGAAUCCAAAACGUCCCUGUUAGCAAGAAUCAGAUGUUUCCAGAGUGAGUGUUAUUUCAAAUGUGAAAGAAAUGUGGUUAAUAAUAUAUAUUUAUUUUUAUCAAAUAGCUGUGCCAAGUUACUUUUUGUGGGACGUAAAUUAUGGAAUUCAAAGGCAAGAUUGAAUAUUUAAUUUCAAGUUACCCCAAUGCUAAAGAGGCCUUGUAUAUAUUUUAUAUUUUAUUUAUAUUUGUUGAUAGCAUAUAUAUCUUAAAUAAUAAUAAUAUAAUUGUCAGAUUUUAUUGGCAGUAUAUUGAGAUGAACACCUGAGAUAUAGUUAAAUUAAUGGGAAGAACCAUACUGAAGGAAGGACAUUGAUUUUCACAUUUACAGUUUCAACUUGGUUUGAUUUCACAUGCUUUCUAUAUAAGAGUGUGCAUUGUAUUUUCUUGUGUUUGUAAAAAUGACUUACAUGUAUAGCCCAUGUACAUAGAUGAAAGUUCGUCUGUGAUUAUAUAUGUAUAUUAUUCACGCUUACAACAAGGAAAUGCCAAAUCAAAGUAGAUUGUAUCCAGAUAUAUGGUAUAUAAAAGAAGUCGUGUAAAGUAGAGCUGGUUUACUUGGUGACUGAAGAGAUAGCCGACACAUAACUGUUGCUCAUGCCAUCAUUAAAAUGUACAAACAUUUGGCCAACAUUUCCUGUAAAACAAGUUCAAACACUUCAAAUCACAGGUGCAGUUUACAAAAUAAAAUGUUCCUGGACUUUACAAUGAUCAGAAAAUAAGAGUUUCCCAAAUAUAUCUGUGCAUCGUAUGGCCGUUUUAUUGCAGGCCCUUUCAAUUGUCAAAUGUUGUAAAACAAGAUGCAUAGAAUGCACAGGAACGUUUAGGAACAUCCUCUUUUCACUGUCCCUUUACAAUGGCAUCAUUGUUAGGUCUAGAAGGACUUUUAUUUUUUUGACAAACAAAACGGCAAGCUGCAUCUUUAAGUAUGCCAGUUUCAUGUUUCUGUCAUAAAUGUGUUUACUAUACAGUUUGAAUGAGAAUAUUGAAAUUGUGUUGAUCAUCAUCCUCUGUUCAGUCUUUAUUUAAUGAUUUGGAGAACAGCUUAUCCUCUUAGAGUUACAAGUAAUUUAUGACAACCACAUCAAAGGUUUAUACACAAAUGCAUUAAGGAGAACCAUAUUAACCUGAAAGAAAACACACAAAUCACUGAAUGACACUGAUCAUUUCAUGUUCCUUUUUUUCUCAAGAGCGUAUAAAUGCAAUAAUUACAAAACGACUUUUACUUUUUGACAUUUUUUUGCAGAUCAGAUGAUGAUGAAAUCAGAUGAAUAGUCUGUCAAUAAGUACAGUGAUUACAAUGACAUUUGUGGUGGUAGAGCUGAUUUUUGUGAGUUCAACAGUGAUGAUAAAUCAAGCUGAUGAUAAUAGAGGCCUUUAUGUUCACAGAUUACUUUUAUUCCCCUGUAGCCUCCAUUACUCUUUGCUCUCCUGCCCUCUUUCAACUCACACUUCAAUAAAGUGGCCCUAAUGGCUUGUCCUUUAUUAAAGACAAAUGAACCAUUA